UUUUAGACUCGGUGGUACCAUACAUAUAACC
rnacentral:piRNA from 1 species